GACGAAGGUGGCGAGCGUUGUUCGGAAUCACUGGGCAUAAAGCGCACGUAGGCGGUGUCGUAAGUCGGAUGUGAAAUCCCUCGGCCUAACCGAGGAACUGCGUCCGAUACUGCGAUGCUUGAGGAUCAGAGGGGUGCAUGGAAUUUCCGGUGGAGCGGUGAAAUGCGUUGAUAUCGGAAGGAACUCCGGCGGCGAAAGCGAUGCACUGGCUGAUUUCUGACGCUGAGGUGCGAAAGCCAGGGGAGCAAACGGG
rnacentral:rRNA from 1 species